rnacentral:rRNA from 1 species
UACGGAGGGUGCAAGCGUUAUCCGGAUUUACUGGGUUUAAAGGGUGCGUAGGCGGGCCAUUAAGUCAGUGGUGAAAGCUCCGAGCUUAACUCGGAAACUGCCAUUGAUACUAUUGGUCUUGAAUUCGGUCGAGGUUGGCGGAAUGUGUCGUGUAGCGGUGAAAUGCUUAGAUAUGACACAGAACACCGAUUGCGAAGGCAAUCUCCUGGACCUGCACUGACGCUCAUGCACGAAAGCGUGGGGAGCAAACAGG